AUUGAACGCUGGCGGCAUGCCUUACACAUGCAAGUCGAACGGCAGCGGGGGAGAAGCUUGCUUUUCCUGCCGGCGAGUGGCGAACGGGUGAGUAAUACAUCGGAACGUGCCCUGUAGUGGGGGAUAACUAGUCGAAAGAUUAGCUAAUACCGCAUACGACCUGAGGGUGAAAGUGGGGGACCGCAAGGCCUCAUGCUAUAGGAGCGGCCGAUGUCUGAUUAGCUAGUUGGUGGGGUAAAGGCCUACCAAGGCGACUAUCAGUAGCUGGUCUGAGAGGACGAGCAGCCACACUGGGACUGAGACACGGCCCAGACUCCUACGGGAGGCAGCAGUGGGGAAUUUUGGACAAUGGGCGAAAGCCUGAUCCAGCAAUGCCGCGUGUGUGAAGAAGGCCUUCGGGUUGUAAAGCGCUUUUGUCCGGAAAGAAAUGGCUCUGGUUAAUACCUGGGGUCGAUGACGGUACCGGAAGAAUAAGGACCGGCUAACUACGUGCCAGCCGCCGCGGUAA
rnacentral:rRNA from 1 species